rnacentral:rRNA from 1 species
AACGAACGCUGGCGGCAGGCUUAACACAUGCAAGUCGAACGCCCCGCAAGGGGAGUGGCAGACGGGUGAGUAACGCGUGGGAAUCUACCCAGAUCUACGGAACAACUGAGGGAAACUUCAGCUAAUACCGUAUACGCCCUACGGGGGAAAGAUUUAUCGGAUUUGGAUGAGCCCGCGUUGGAUUAGCUAGUUGGUGGGGUAAUGGCCUACCAAGGCGACGAUCCAUAGCUGGUCUGAGAGGAUGAUCAGCCACACUGGGACUGAGACACGGCCCAGACUCCUACGGGAGGCAGCAGUGGGGAAUAUUGGACAAUGGGCGAAAGCCUGAUCCAGCCAUGCCGCGUGAGUGAUGAAGGCCUUAGGGUUGUAAAGCUCUUUCAGUAGGAAGAUAAUGACGGUACCUACAGAAGAAGCCCCGGCUAACUUCGUGCCAGCCGCCGCGGUAACAC